CUAGGGGAGGCUGCAGUGGGGAAUAUUGGACAAUGGGCGAAAGCCUGAUCCAGCCAUGCCGCGUGUGUGAAGAAGGCCUUCGGGUUGUAAAGCACUUUCAGUGGGGAAGAAAGCCUUGGGGCUAAUACCCUCGAGGAAGGACAUCACCCACAGAAGAAGCACCGGCUAACUCCGUGCCAGCAGCCGCGGUAAUACGGAGGGUGCGAGCGUUAAUCGGAAUUACUGGGCGUAAAGCGCGCGUAGGCGGUCUGAUAAGCCGGUUGUGAAAGCCCCGGGCUCAACCUGGGAACGGCAUCUGGAACUGUCAGGCUAGAGUGCAGGAGAGGAAGGUAGAAUUCCCGGUGUAGCGGUGAAAUGCGUAGAGAUCGGGAGGAAUACCAGUGGCGAAGGCGGCCUUCUGGACUGACACUGACGCUGAGGUGCGAAAGCGUGGGUAGCAAACAGGAUUAGAUACCCGAGUAGUC
rnacentral:rRNA from 1 species